UGGUUCUGGCAUCGAUGAAGAACGCAGCGAAAUGCGAUAAGUAAUGUGAAUUGCAGAAUUUAGUGAAUCAUCGAAUCUUUGAACGCACAUUGCGCCCUUUGGUAUUCCGAAGGGCAUGCCUGUUCGAGCGUCAUUUAAAGACCAUCAAGCCUAGCUUGGCAGUGGAUGUCACGUCCCCGAAACACGGGACGCGUCCUAAAGAUCUCUAAGCGGCGGCGUCGAGCCCCGAGCGUAGUAGAAUUACCAUCCGCUCCGGACGGCCUCGAGCGACGCUAGCUACCAAAAAUCUUUUUUCUCAAAAGGUUGACCUCGGAUCAGGUAGGGAUACCCGCUGA
rnacentral:misc_RNA from 1 species